GGACCAUAGCUCAGUAGUAGAACAUCUGCUUUGCAUUCAGAAGGCCCUGGGUUCAAUCCCCAGCAUCUCCA